rnacentral:snoRNA from 1 species
GGUCAAUGAUGAAAAGUAAAAGGUCUGAUUACCCACAAUCCCCUCCUGCUGCCCUCUGGCUCCCAGCAGCCCCUGCUCAUCUCCCAUCAUGCGCUAGUGGUGCAGUGGUGGUCUCAGCAGCUGCUGACAGACAGGAAGUGACAUCACAGUGAGUCUGUACAGAGAUCCUAUUGGCUCAGUGUGAUUGGCAUCCAACAGAACCAUUUGGCAUGGAGCGUCAGGCUGAGGAGGAGGAGGAGGAGGAGGGAGCUGAUCUCAAGUUUUCAACCUGAGACU